GGUCGACCCGCUGAAUUUAAGCAUAUCACUAAGCGGAGGAAAAGAAACUAACCAGGAUUCCCCUAGUAACGGCGAGUGAAGAGGGAAAAGCCCAGCACCGAAGCCUGUGGCAAUUUUGCUGCUAGGCAAUGUGGUGUUUAGGUCGGCUCGUGGGAUCGCCACUCCACUCGAAGUCCAGCAUUGAGUAUGGUUCCCAGGAAUUGGCCCAUAGAGGGUGAAAGGCCCGUACGAGUGGAUGUGUCAGAUAUGUAAGGCGAUUCACCAGGCCGGCCUUAGAGUCGGGUUGUUUGCGAAUGCAGCCCAAAGUGGGUGGUAAACUCCAUCCAAGGCUAAAUACUAGCACGAGUCCGAUAGCGAACAAGUACCGUGAGGGAAAGUUGAAAAGUACUUUGAAGAGAGAGUAAACAGUACGUGAAACCGCAUAGAGGUAAACGGGUGGCGUCAAGCUGCAAGCCCAGAGAAUUCAGUCGGUCAGGGUGUUGUCAUGCGCCCAGCGCAUCUAUCAGUCGGUGUAGGAUUUGGCUAGUCCGCUUGAAGAUGGCGGGCCCAGCUAGCAAUAGCUGGGAUUUGCGUACCGGGCGGUAGCCGGAGCAUGCUAGCCGUCUGUAGGACUGCCUGGCCGAUGCACUUUCUCUGUUGGUGAACACCACGACCGGUGGUACUGCCAGUCUGCUGUAGCCAGCUUCGUUGCAUACUCUGGCCUUUUGGUUGGGGCGUGUGGCGAUCACAGACAAUUUCAGUGCACGGUGCUUGUGUGUUUUUCGCAUGCGGGCAUGUUAUCGGGAACUGGUUGUAAACGGGUCGGCCUGUCGACUUGUCUGUAGUCGUGGUUGAUGGGUGACCCGGUGGGCUAUGGUGGUAUGAAUAACUGUGCAGGGCACCGGAGUUUUCGGUCCGACCAGCAGUAGUCGUUCGCGGCUGCUGUUGCCGGCUGCAUACGCACUGCAGUUUAGCGUGUGCACUGUCUUUGGCAGUAGUACGGGCGGCGCUGUUUACGGCCUGCCAGUCGUUGGGUCUGAUUGUCGUGUCGCCUGCCAAAAUGGUGGGUCCGGCGGUGGCCUGGCGUUGGAUGGUGCCUGUAGACGGAGCUGUCGUUGUGCAGCCGGUGUUUGUGUGCGCGACCUUAUAGUCUGUGGUGUAGUGGUAGACGAGCUACCCGACCCGUCUUGAAACACGGACCAAGGAGUUUAACAUGCGCGCGAGUCAUUGGGUCCUACGAAACCCAGAGGCGCAGUGAAAGUAAAGCUUCGACAUAUAUUGUUCUCGGGGUGUGGUGAGAUCCUGCUGUUUCUCGCAUACAUUUGUCCAGCACUGGGCUAACUAAACGAGCAGUGGGCGCAUCACCGGCCCGUCCCAUGAUGUGGCUAUCUGUCAGUGGCAGUUGUCGCCUUACGGUGGUGGUUGCUUUCUGCGGGUACGUCAUCGGGGCGGAGCAUGAGCGCGCAUGUUGAGACCCGAAAGAUGGUGAACUAUGCUUGCGUAGGUUGAAGCCAGAGGAAACUCUGGUGGAGGACCGCAGCGAUUCUGACGUGCAAAUCGAUCGUCAAACGUGAGUAUAGGGGCGAAAGACUAAUCGAACCAUCUAGUAGCUGGUUCCCUCCGAAGUUUCCCUCAGGAUAG
rnacentral:rRNA from 1 species